rnacentral:scRNA from 1 species
GCUGUGUCUGCUGUGAUAAUCUUGAGAGUGAU